rnacentral:rRNA from 1 species
AAUCAACGCUGGCGGCGUGCCUAACACAUGCAAGUCGAACGCGUGUCGCAAGACACGAGUGGCGCACGGGUGAGUAAUACGUCGGAACCAACCCAGAGGUUCGGAAUAACCGCGGGAAACUGCGGCUAAUACCGGAUGUGUCCUAAGGGAGAAAGAUUUAUCGCCUUUGGACGGGCCGACGUCCGAUUAGCUAGUUGGUGAGGUAAUGGCUCACCAAGGCUACGAUCGGUAGCUGGCUGAGAGGAUGAUCAGCCACACUGGAACUGAGAUACGGUCCAGACUCCUACGGGAGGCAGCAGUGGGGAAUAUUGGGCAAUGGAGGCAACUCUGAUCCAGCCAUGCCGCGUGAGUGAAGAA